rnacentral:rRNA from 1 species
AACGCUAGCUACAGGCUUAACACAUGCAAGUCGAGGGGCAGCAUGAACUUAGCUUGCUAAGUUUGAUGGCGACCGGCGCACGGGUGAGUAACACGUAUCCAACCUGCCGAUGACUCGGGGAUAGCCUUUCGAAAGAAAGAUUAAUACCCGAUGGCAUAGUUCUUCCGCAUGGUAGAACUAUUAAAGAAUUUCGGUCAUCGAUGGGGAUGCGUUCCAUUAGGUUGUUGGCGGGGUAACGGCCCACCAAGCCUUCGAUGGAUAGGGGUUCUGAGAGGAAGGUCCCCCACAUUGGAACUGAGACACGGUCCAAACUCCUACGGGAGGCAGCAGUGAGGAAUAUUGGUCAAUGGACGAGAGUCUGAACCAGCCAAGUAGCGUGAAGGAUGACUGCCCUAUGGGUUGUAAACUUCUUUUAUACGGGAAUAAAGUGGGGCACGUGUGCCUUUUUGUAUGUACCGUAUGAAUAAGGAUCGGCUAACUCCGUGCCAGCAGCCGCGGUAAUACGGAGGAUCCGAGCGUUAUCCAGAUUUAUUGGGUUUAAAGGGAGCGUAGAUGGAUGUUUAAGUCAGUUGUGAAAGUUUGCGGCUCAACCGUAAAAUUGCAGUUGAUACUGGAUGUCUUGAGUGCAGUUGAGGCAGGCGGAAUUCGUGGUGUAGCGGUGAAAUGCUUAGAUAUCACGAAGAACUCCGAUUG